UAUGAGACGUCCACUGCCCUCUGUUCCCAGCAGAAUGACCAGAACCAAUUUGUUGGCUUUUAUUUGCCUGGCCCUUGUGCCUGAAAAGGAAGAAAGGAGGAGACUGUGUUUAUGCAUCUCUUACAGGAUGUAAUCUCCAAGGACGAGUGUAUAGAGUCUUAGUGAGGUUGGAGUGGUUUCCAGAAAAACUGGUUGCUGUAGCAGAGGUCCCUGGUGUCACUGUGGUUUUUCUGGGGCCACAGGAGCUGGUG